GAUGAACGCUGACAGAAUGCUUAACACAUGCAAGUCGAUGGGGAAGUGGUGCUUGCACCAUGGCAACCAUGGCGGACGGGUGAGUAACGCGUAAGGGACUUACCUGCAGGACUGGGAUAACAGGGGGAAACUCCUGACAAGACCGGAUAAUGUCAUGGAGCUGCAUGGCUUUAUGAUGAAAGGAGACGCCUGCGGAGAGCCUUGCGUCCUAUUAGCUAGUUGGUGAGGUAAGGGCUCACCAAGGCGAAGAUAGGUAGCCGGCCUGAGAGGGUGGACGGCCACAAGGGGACUGAGAUACGGCCCUUACUCCUACGGGAGGCAGCAGUGGGGAAUAUUGGACAAUGGGGGCAACCCUGAUCCAGCAAUUCUGUGUGCACGAAGAAGGUUUUCGGAUUGUAAAGUGCUUUCAGCAGGGAAGAAGGAAA
rnacentral:rRNA from 1 species